GACGAACGCUGGCGGCGUGCUUAACACAUGCAAGUCGAACGGUGAAGCGCCUUCCUUUUUGGUGGGUGUGGAUGAGUGGCGAACGGGUGAGUAACACGUGAGUAACCUGCCCCCUUCUUCUGGAUAACCGCAUGAAAGUGUGGCUAAUACGGGAUAUUCUGUGUCUGUCGCAUGAUGGGUCUGGGAAAGAUAUUGUUUCGGUGGGGGAUGGGCUCGCGGCCUAUCAGCUUGUUGGUGGGGUGAUGGCCUACCAAGGCGGUGACGGGUAGCCGGCCUGAGAGGGUGGACGGUCACACUGGGACUGAGACACGGCCAAGACUCCUACGGGAGGCAGCAGUGGGGAAUAGUGCACAAUGGGCGGAAGCCUGAUGCAGCGACGCCGCGUGAGGGAUGGAGGCCUUCGGGUUGUGAACCUCUUUCGCCAGUGAAGCAGGCCUGCCUCGUUUGUGGGUGGGUUGACGGUAGCUGGAUAAGAAGCGCCGGCUAACUACGUG
rnacentral:rRNA from 1 species